UACGGGGGGGGCAAGCGUUGUUCGGAAUUACUGGGCGUAAAGCGCACGUAGGCGGACUGUUAAGUCAGGGGUGAAAUCCUGGAGCUCAACUCCAGAACUGCCUUUGAUACUGAGGAGCUUGAGUCCGGGAGAGGUGAGUGGAACUGCGAGUGUAGAGGUGAAAUUCGUAGAUAUUCGCAAGAACACCAGUGGCGAAGGCGGCUCACUGGCCCGGUACUGACGCUGAGGUGCGAAAGCGUGGGGAGCAAACAGG
rnacentral:rRNA from 1 species